AGCUUUGCACAGUGGCAGUAUCGUAGCCAAUGAGGUUUAUCCGAGGCACGAUUAUUGCUAAUUAAAAAAUUAAUUAGAAAAUAGGGGCGCCUGGGUGGCUUAGUCGGUUGAGUGUCCGACUUUCGCUUAGGUCAUGAUC